rnacentral:misc_RNA from 1 species
UGUUUAAAGAUGCGUUUACAUCGUGUACAUUCGUUUUACAAUAUAUGAGUUUAUAAUAUAGCAGACGGGCCGCCCCGAGAGGCUUCCCCGUCUCACGAGUUCACAGGUGUGUGUGGAUGAAAGAGAAGGCGUGCACAUGCCCCGGGGGGCCAGCUACAACCGACUCUAUAUUCAUUCAAUAAUGAUCCUUCCGCAGGUUCACCUACGGAAA